rnacentral:rRNA from 1 species
AUUGAACGCUGGCGGCAGGCUUAACACAUGCAAGUCGAGCGGGGGAAGGUAGCUUGCUACCGGACCUAGCGGCGGACGGGUGAGUAAUGCUUAGGAAUCUGCCUAUUAGUGGGGGACAACAUCUCGAAAGGGAUGCUAAUACCGCAUACGUCCUAUGGGAGAAAGCAGGGGAUCUUCGGACCUUGCGCUAAUAGAUGAGCCUAAGUCGGAUUAGCUAGUUGGUGGGGUAAAGGCCUACAAAGGCGACGAUCUGUAGCGGGUCUGAGAGGAUGAUCCGACACACUGGGACUGAGACACGGCCCAGACUCCUACGGGAGGCAGCAGUGGGGAAUAUUGGACAAUGGGGGGAACCCUGAUCCAGCCAUGCCGCGUGUGUGAAGAAGGCCUUAUGGUUGUAAAGCACUUUAAGCGAGGAGGAGGCUACUUUAGUUAAUACCUAGAGAUAGUGGACGUUACUCGCAGAAUAAGCACCGGCUAACUCUGUGCCAGCAGCCGCGGUAA